CGUAGGUGGCAAGCGUUGUCCGGAAUUAUUGGGCGUAAAGCGCGCGCAGGCGGUCUUUUAAGUCUGAUGUGAAAGCCCCCGGCUCAACCGGGGAGGGUCAUUGGAAACUGGAGGACUUGAGUGCAGAAGAGAAGAGCGGAAUUCCGCGUGUAGCGGUGAAAUGCGUAGAGAUGUGGAGGAACACCAGUGGCGAAGGCGGCUCUUUGGUCUGUAACUGACGCUGAGGCGCGAAAGCGUGGGGAGCAAACAGGAUUAGAUACCCUGGUAGUCCACGCCGUAAACGAUGAGUGCUAAGUGUUAGAGGGUUUCCGCCCUUUAGUGCUGCAGCUAACGCAUUAAGCACUCCGCCUGGGGAGUACGGCCGCAAGGCUG
rnacentral:rRNA from 1 species